rnacentral:ribozyme from 1 species
AAUCCAACGAAUUCAAGAAGCGCCGGUUCAACCCCACGGAUAUCCGCCUCCCUCAGAUCGAAUCCCGGAGUGGCAGCUUCAAGCUCUCUAGCCCCAAGGAAG